rnacentral:rRNA from 1 species
GCAAUGUGCGAAGCACGACAAGGUUAAUCCGAGUGGUUUCUGCUAAAGGACCUUUUGUCGGUCCUAGAAACACCGAUGAAUAAGGGGUGGGCAAGUUCUGGUGUCAGCCGCCGCGGUAAAACCAGCACCUCAAGUGGUCAGGAUGAUUAUUGGGCCUAAAGCAUCCGUAGCCGGCUUUGUUAGUUUUCGGUUAAAUCUGUACGCUUAACGUACAGGCUGCCGGGAAUACUGCAGAGCUAGGGAGUGGGAGAGGUAGACGGUACUCGGUAGGAAGGGGUAAAAUCCUUUGAUCUAUUGAUGACCACCUGUGGCGAAGGCGGUCUACCAGAACACGUCCGACGGUGAGGGAUGAAAGCUGGGGGAGCAAACCGGAUUAGAUACCCGGGUAGUCCCAGCUGUAAACUAUGCAAACUCAGUGAUGCAUUGGCUUGUGGCCAAUGCAGUGCUGCAGGGAAGCCGUUAAGUUUGCCGCCUGGGGAAGUACGUACGCAAGUAUGAAACUUAAAGGAAUUGGCGGGGGAGCACCACAAGGGGUGAAGCCUGCGGUUCAAUUGGAGUCAACGCCAGAAUCUUACCCGGAGAGACAGCAGAAUGAAGUCAGCUGAGACUUUACCAGACAGCUGGAGAAGAGGUGCAUGGGCCACGGGCGAUU